rnacentral:tRNA from 1 species
UCCCCAGUGGUCCAGUGGCUAAGCCUCUGUGCUUUUAAUGCAGGGGCCUCAGGUUCGAUCCCUGGUGGGGGAC